AUGAACGCUGGCGGCGUGCCUAAUACAUGCAAGUCGAGCAAACAGACGAGGAGCUUGCUCCUCUGAUGUUAGCGGCGGACGGGUGAGUAACACGUGGAUAACCUACCUAUAAGACUGGGAUAACUUCGGGAAACCGGAGCUAAUACCGGAUAACAUGUUUAACCGCUUGGUUUAACAGUGAAAGACGGUCUUGCUGUCCCUUAUAGAUGGAUCCGCGCCGCAUUAGCUAGUUGGUAAGGUAACGGCUUACCAAGGCAACGAUGCGUAGCCGACCUGAGAGGGUGAUCGGCCACACUGGAACUGAGACACGGUCCAGACUCCUACGGGAGGCAGCAGUAGGGAAUCUUCCGCAAUGGGCGAAAGCCUGACGGAGCAACGCCGCGUGAGUGAAGAAGGUCUUCGGAUCGUAAAACUCUGUUAUUAGGGAAGAACAAAUGUGUAAGUAACUAUGCACGUCUUGACGGUACCUAAUCAGAAAGCCACGGCUAACUACGUG
rnacentral:rRNA from 1 species